rnacentral:rRNA from 1 species
AUGGGAAGAACAUGUGUGUUUGUUCAUCAUGGGGACAAAGACGCCAUUUUGAAAGGCAAUAUAGAACCGGACCCGGAUGAGCUUGACAUGGUGUUUGAUAGUAGUCCUAGCUAUGCGGAGCUCUUGCAACAAGUUAGGAAAGAUUUGAAUUGGAUGGACCCUAGUGAUAUUAUUGAGUUGGAGGGAAGGCAUAAUGUUGGUUUUGGAAUGCACAUCCGUUGGAAGACAAUGCGUGUCAACUCGGAGCAACGUUGGGUUGCAUACAAGGAGACGGUGGCCGAAUCACUAGACAAGGCUCUUGAGUUAUUUGCAACGAAGAAGGUUGAUUCAAGUUUGCAUUUGGACUUGAACCGGAACCCCUCCCCUUAG